AUCGCUUCUCGGCCUUUUGGCUAAGAUCAAGUGUAUAAUCUCUGCCGUCCAGUUUCAAAAUAUAGGGAGUUAAAAUAAACCUGUGUUUUAAUAUGUUGUCUUGAAUACCACAGGCAUUGAUACACAUCUGUUCAUUCCUCUAGCUUCACUUUAGUGAUAGAGUAGCUUGAUG
rnacentral:snRNA from 1 species